rnacentral:tRNA from 1 species
GUGGUGGCUCAGUGGUAGAGCGCCUGCCUAGCAUGUGUGAGGCACUGGGUUCAAUUCUCAGUACCACA